rnacentral:rRNA from 1 species
AACGAACGCUGGCGGCAUGCCUAACACAUGCAAGUCGAACGAGACCUUCGGGUCUAGUGGCGCACGGGUGCGUAACGCGUGGGAACCUGCCCUUAGGUUCGGAAUAACUCCCCGAAAGGGGUGCUAAUACCGGAUAAUGUCUUCGGACCAAAGAUUUAUCGCUUUUGGAUGGGCGCGCGUUGGAUUAGCGAGUUGGUAGGGUAAAAGCCUACCAAGGCGACGAUCCAUAGCUGGUCGGAGAGGAUGAUCAGCCACACUGGGACUGAGACACGGCCCAGACUCCUACGGGAGGCAGCAGUGGGGAAUAUUGGACAAUGGGCGAAAGCCUGAUCCAGCAAUGCCGCGUGAGUGAUGAAGGCCUUAGGGUUGUAAAGCUCUUUUACCCGGGAUGAUAAUGACAGUACCGGGAGAAUAAGCUCCGGCUAACUCCGUG